AUACGUAGGUGGCAAGCGUUAUCCGGAAUUAUUGGGCGUAAAGAGUGAGCAGGCGGUUAAUUAAGUCUGAGGUUAAAGCGUGGGGCUCAACCCCAUAAAGCCUUGGAAACUGAUUGACUAGAGUACGGGAGAAGUGAAGGGAACUCCAUGUGUAGCGGUGAAAUGCGUAGAUAUAUGGAAGAACACCAGUGGCGAAGGCGCUUCACUAGCCCGAAACUGACGCUCAGUCACGAAAGCGUGGGUAGCAAAUAGGAUUAGAUACCCUAGUAGUCCACGCCGUAAACGAUGAGUACUAAGUGUUGGAUGUCAAAGUUUAGUGCUGCAGUUAACGCAAUAAGUACUCCGCCUGAGUAGUACGUUCGCAAGAAUGAAACUCAAAGGAAUUGACGGGG
rnacentral:rRNA from 1 species